UACACAAACAGGUGCAGGAAGAAGGAAUCAAAUCGGCUUCUGCCACAUAAUUAUCUACACCUGAGAGGGGCAUGGCGUUUCCAGGCAGUCACCACGGGUGAGCCCAAGAGCUGCAGCAUGGCUCUCCGAUCUACGAAAAGGCAGGACCUCUCACUGUCCACUGUGUCCACACUGAACAGGUUCCUCCAACUAAUAGCCAAGAGUAACAAAUGGCGGCUCCUUCCGACGUCCGUCAUGCGCCGUAUUAAGGCCUCUGAUCGUUUCGGGGGCUUCCGAAUAUAUAUAAUUCAUUAAUCAACCAGUUCAACCUUUCAAACGAAGAACAGAACUUCCUGAUACGUUUUUAAUUGGUUAUUUUUACAGACGAAUUGAAAAUGAUUGGUUCCCUACAAUUAAUAGAUAUGAUUGGUGUAAGGCAGUGGUGUCAAACUCGUGCCAUGGAGGGCCGUGUGUAUGCAGGUUUUCAUUCCAACCAAUUAAUGCUGCCUUAAUUGAGUCCAAUUACUCAUUCAGCCAUAUGCGUUUAACUGCAUUGAAGCACAGAAUAUAAGAACAUUUUUAUUUAGACAAUGCGGGUCACCAUAGACGUCGGGUCACCAUUGUGCACAAACCUGCAUCCCUAAUUCAGCAAAUAAUUUAACUAAUUAUAUAAUCAAGAUCUGAGGCUGGAAUGAAAACCUGCAUACACACGGCCCUCCAUGGCACGAGUUUGACACCACUGGUGUAAGGUAUUCCCGCAGAAAGGAAAAUGCGAGAGAUCGACGUGACCGCGAGCGUUGGCUACAAAUGAGCUUGCUAGUCUAUUUAUUCAACGGAGCAAGUUAUGCAAUAACUAUUUGAAGUACAUAUUCGCGUUUCGGUCUUCUAUUGUAUUGACACACAGGCUACAUUCGCAAUUUUUGUACGUGAAAUAAAGGCUAGCUUUACUGUCAGCAACUAUACGGAAACGUUAGGCAGAGGUGGUGUUACCAAUUAGCUUUCGUUAGCUACGGCCAUCUACACAGCUGGUGCACCUUCCCCGAGACUGCACAGAGAAGGAAGGAAAAAAACUCCGAAAUGAAGCUUGAGGCCCAGAUGAAGUCAAGUGCUCACACCCACAUAUUCUACCCAGCCGGCGUGACUGCACUGGCUAAAUCCAGGACACUGGCAGGAGCUGUCAUCUUCUUCUUCAAUGGUGUUUAUUGCCGGCUUGUAACAUACAUGGAAGGUGCAUUACCGCCACCUACAGUGCUGGAGUGUGGAGCAGAUUAGGCCAGUAGGCAGAUCCUAUAGCCCAAACCCAUUUCUAAUAGAUGUUGCAGUACGGCCGUAUAAUUCCUACUUGAACCUUCCGCCUCACCCAAAAUGUCUCUGAUAUCACUUACCCUACCACAGCCCUCCACUGUCCUGUUAAAUGACGUCGUUCUUUCAUUGACAAAUGUGCCACGUGACAUUACAUGCUGAACCGUCUCUGGUACCAUAGACAUCUCACACACCCCAUCUACGUGUCUCCCCUUCAGCCACAAACCAGAAUUCAGCCCAGUGUGCCCCAGCCUUACCCCGCCCUUCAGUACCCCUCUUUCCUGUUUACCCCCUAGCCUGCUUUGCCCUAAUGGAGUUCUGCAGUUUGUACAGCCGUCUGCCAUCUUUGCCAUGGCUCCCCUGCUCCUGCCACUCUGCCACACAGCCGGCCUGAUGAUCCUAAUGGGACCUUAAUAUCAAUCACUUCCUGCUUUAAUGCCUUUUUUGGCUAUUUGUCUGCUACUUCAUUUCCGGCUGGAUCCAUCUGUUUUUGGUUCGGGUGUCUGGUAAAGCCGGUUCAACUAGCUUUAGCUAACUACUCAGCCUGCGGUGCUGUAAUAACUUGUUUAGCCAGCAGGCUAAUAACGGGUAAGAAUGUCUUGCGCAGGUGCUACAUGAAUGAGCACACGGGUCACAUACUCCGCGUUGUGUCCAGUAAGGGGCCGGUAGUCGGUACAUGAAAUGACACCUGGAGCGGGAACGGGUGGAUGCCGGUAGCACAGUGGAAAUAGCCAGCACCGCUACACCGGCAAACAUGCAGCCAGCUGCCCUCGGAGAACCCGCCGGGACCCCACAGGGACCCCGCGAGAACCCACCGGGACCCUGCCUGAAACCCGCCGGGACCCUGCCUGGAACCCGCCGGGAACCCGCCAGGACCCUGCCACGACCCCACCGGGGCCCUGCCAGGACCCCGCCAGGACCCCGCCAGGAACCCGCCAGGAACCCGCCAGGAACCCGCCAGGAACCCGCCAGGAACCCGCCAGGAACCCGCCAGGACCCCACAGAGACCCCAUCAGGAACCUGCCGUCCGCACGGCCGUCUCUGCGCCGAUUUGGCGGGUCGGCACCGGGGUGGCCCGCUCGCAGACGGGUCAGCUGAGGUAGAACCCGUUAAAGCGAAGCAGUUGGCGGAUGUGUCUGGCGGUAGUGCUGAUCUGCAGAGCGCUGCCGGGCCGACCGUUGGCACCGCCGCGGGCCCGAUGGCGGCUCGCCGGCUGUGCAUUAAUCAUUAGAGUCCGACUGCUGUCUCCCAGCGCCCGGACUCAGCAGUUGCUGCUGUUGGCACGCUGAAGUAGACUUAGGUAACGAGAUUAAUGUUUUUAUUGCCUACAAGUUGUAGGCAAUAUUUUUUGCAAAUCACGGCAAUAUUUUAAAGGUACGGAGCAUAGAGGUAGAAGUUAGAAGUUAACUUGGGUAGAAAUAUUAUCACGCCAAGAAUCCCACCAAUAGCAUCACUAGGGUCAGGGUCCCCAAUCCUGGUCCUAGGGGCCCACAGAGUCUGUAGGGUUUUACUUUCACCCUACCAUAAGAACCCAGUUUAGACCCAAGAACCCGGGUGUGUAAUCACCUGGCCUUUUAUGCUGGGAAAGUGUAGCUGACUCAUCUGCUCUUAACAAAAACUUCUGGGAUGCAACCCCACCUGGAUACCCUUCAUUUCCAAUGAUAUAGACAAUUUUCCUUCAUCAAUUGUUAUACUAAUAAAUUUAAAACAUUGA